rnacentral:rRNA from 2 species
UUUGAUCCUGGCUCAGGAUGAACGCUGGCGGCGUGCCUAAUACAUGCAAGUCGAGCGAACUGAUUAGAAGCUUGCUUCUAUGACGUUAGCGGCGGACGGGUGAGUAACACGUGGGCAACCUGCCUGUAAGACUGGGAUAACUUCGGGAAACCGAAGCUAAUACCGGAUAGGAUCUUCUCCUUCAUGGGAGAUGAUUGAAAGAUGGUUUCGGCUAUCACUUACAGAUGGGCCCGCGGUGCAUUAGCUAGUUGGUGAGGUAACGGCUCACCAAGGCAACGAUGCAUAGCCGACCUGAGAGGGUGAUCGGCCACACUGGGACUGAGACACGGCCCAGACUCCUACGGGAGGCAGCAGUAGGGAAUCUUCCGCAAUGGACGAAAGUCUGACGGAGCAACGCCGCGUGAGUGAUGAAGGCUUUCGGGUCGUAAAACUCUGUUGUUAGGGAAGAACAAGUACAAGAGUAACUGCUUGUACCUUGACGGUACCUAACCAGAAAGCCACGGCUAACUACGUGCCAGCAGCCGCGGUAAUACGUAGGUGGCAAGCGUUAUCCGGAAUUAUUGGGCGUAAAGCGCGCGCAGGCGGUUUCUUAAGUCUGAUGUGAAAGCCCACGGCUCAACCGUGGAGGGUCAUUGGAAACUGGGGAACUUGAGUGCAGAAGAGAAAAGCGGAAUUCCACGUGUAGCGGUGAAAUGCGUAGAGAUGUGGAGGAACACCAGUGGCGAAGGCGGCUUUUNNGUCUGU